AGGAUCCAGAGACAUCAAGAGAUUACGGAAAAUCACGCGAGAUAACUGGCUUGCACCUUGUUGGGUUUUUUCAAGGGCAGAGGGGAGAUUCCUGGCGUGCAUCUACUUAAUUUGAAGAAGAACAUCACCUGUCUGUAAUCCACCUGCGUAAGUACUGGUCAAGGGGCUCAUCGGCUAUCAAGUUAUAGAUUUCAGUGGCUAAUAGAAGACACUGCUGAGGUCAGACGAGAGUGCAUCCUCAAAGGUCUGUGUGUACCUAAAUGAAGAUCCAGAGAAGCUGGUGAGGGAGUACAUGGACGUUGAUGAAUGAAAUGGCAAAAGCCGAGACUGUCCUCGGAAUCGUCAUUUGAGCAGAGGGUGCAGAGGCUGCCGAUGCACAUCUGGAUGUUGGGAUUGUCCUGGAGGAGGUGGAAGUUAUGAACAGCUUGGGCAGUGUAUCUUCUGCAAUAGUGAUGCUGCUGGGACUAAUCUACGCACUAAACUUGAGCUACCCUCAAGUUUAGUGCGUUCAGCACUCAACUUGCUCAGUAACUCAAGCAUACCUUUGAAGUAAUACAGAAAAUAAUAAUGAAAUUGAAUGGAAAUAACUUAUCAAAGAAAGCACAAGUUCUCAAUAUGAAACUCGCUGCUAAGUUGAGUAAAGUUUCAUAUGGAAAAUGAGUGUUUAAAGUCUGCAGUAGAAAAGAUUUAUAUUGUUACAGUUCUCUUAAGUUGAGCAACUAUACUGACAUGUUUUAUGUUGUAAAGAAUUGGCUGGGAAAUGAAACUGUAGUUGUUUUUUUAUUUCAAUGUCCAACUCAGCUGUGUUUUGUGCUGUGUAAAAAAACGAUGUAUAACAAUUCUGAAAAUACAAUUGUGUUGUACCUUUUCUAA